UAAUAUCCGUCCAGAGCUGAAAACGAUCCUUGGCGGCCGGAAACCAUUCAUACAAUUCGUGGCUCUCUUAAUGCCCCGUUUUAUUCAUUCUUCUCUAUAUUUUAUUUAGGUUUUUUUGGCCACCCAACUUUUCAAUUUGCCUCAUUUUUUCUUUUUCAGCUAAGUUUAUGCUUACCCUCCAAAACGGAGCAAUAUCAUAUUAUAUCAUGGUUCAAACAUGUCAAGAGCUAUUCUAAACUGCCAUUUAUAUCAAGACUCAGCUUCCACGCAACUAACAUAUUCUUACAACAAGAUCAAUUAUGUUAAUUUCAUAAAUUGUAUCCCUGCUUUUCCUAAAUCUUUUGGAACUAUUACCAUUUUUCAUAGUUCCACCUUCUAUUGGAAUUGGAAAUGUGAAAAGCAACACAACAAGAGCCUUCAUAAUAUAUUCCAUCAUAAAUGUCUGCAGUGUGGGUUACAUGAUUCAGUUUCAUCUAAUGAUGAAUACCGUUCUUCGCGCAACAUAGCCAUAAGCGUGUUCAGACGAUACCGGAACUUCAAUGAUCGAGGUGGAGGCGACAAUCUAAAAGAAUUCAUCACUGCUGGUGUGAAUGCAUAUGAGCUAGGGUGCACUGAUGAAGGAUUAAGGAAAGAACUAACUGACAUGAAGGACUGUGGCAUUGAAAUUGAAGCAAUGCAAAGUAGUAGUUAUGGUGGGAGCACAAGCUUGAAACCUAAACUAAUCUCUGAGGAGAUUGAUGAGUGCAUUCUGUGGUUAAGCAUUGUAUUUAUCACCAUCUUGUGUACACCACAACCAACUAUUGUUAGAUGGUCAUCAACACCUCCUGUGUCAGAUGAAGUGAGACUUCAAUGGAAAGGAUUUUGUGCUCUCAUAGCAAAUGCAUAUUUUAUGAAGGGAAUGGCUUGGUCAGAUAUCAUGCUUGCUUCCGGUAAAGACUCUUCAAUUAGAGCAAACAGCUGUGAUGGGUCAAGCUGAGAAACCGUCAGUUGUUGCAAGCAGAAUGCGACUAGUCUUUAGCACACUUGAGGUAGUGAGUCCACAGUGGCCAAGAGUAUAGAGAAUGAGAUCAGGUUUAAGCUGUGUUACACAUUUGCUGACGUGCUUAGCAUUGACUACAAGAUAUGGUUUUAUUAAAAAGGAAAGCAAAGAAACAAAAUAGCCAUGUAUUUUUCGUAUUUUUUUAUGGUAACAAAAGAAAGAAACAAUGUAUCUUUUCCGUAUAGUAAUGUUAGUGAGUUCAAUUUCGUACA